rnacentral:rRNA from 1 species
UACGGAGGGUGCAAGCGUUAUCCGGAUUCACUGGGUUUAAAGGGAGCGCAGGCGGAUUGGUAAGUCAGUGGUGAAAGGCUUAAGCUUAACUUGGGAACUGCCAUUGAUACUAUCAGUCUUGAAUGUUGUUGAGGUUUGCGGAAUGGGUCAUGUAGCGGUGAAAUGCAUAGAUAUGACCCGGAACACCUAUUGCGAAGGCAGCAGGCUAAACAAAUAUUGACGCUGAGGCUCGAGAGCGUGGGGAUCAAACAGG